GAGCUCACACGCGUUUCCGGGCCGCGGGUGGCCUGCCGUGUCCCCCCCACCCCCCACCCCGCGUGGGUCCCUGAGCGAUUCCGAGGGUCCGUCCUGCUCCUCGGGGCGCAGAGGGACCGGGGCGCCUUCAGGUCAGUCCCGCGCACCCGCAGCACAACGUGGGCCUCGUUCGCAGACAGAGAGCAAUGCCUGUGCUCAAGACCAAGAACACAUGAAAGGGGAUGAGGCUAAGGAUGGAGACAGUUUCUGGGCGUUCACAGAUAAUGAUGCAGGGGCUCAUCUCCUUUGGUGGCAUAGUAACCCCAAGACCAGCAGUAUCUUCUUAGGACGCACUCCAGCAGGUUCCUAAAUAGAUUUCUAAGCAGUGGGCUAGGAGGAGAGAGACAAGAAGACUCAGAUGAGAACAAACAGGCACAUUUCAAAAUAGAAAAAAAGGUAAGAAAUGGGUUGCUGGAAGUGAUUUUAAAGGAAAGUUUUAACAUAAACUGAUGACAUUAACUGUCAAGUGUUUCUCUCCUAUGGAAGCUGUUGUAGGAUUUCAUAUAGCCAGGGCUACAUUAGACCAUACUCAUUUCUGUUUAUACAUUUUUUUUUUCUAAUUUCAGAUUAAGGGAGCUGGUACAGGGCAGCAAUCAUUAACUCUUAG
rnacentral:lncRNA from 12 species